GUGCCUGUUUUGGCAGCAUAUAUACAAAAACUGAACUGAAACAGAAAAUUAACAUGGCCCCUGUGCAAGGAUGACAUACCCAUUCUUUUUUUUUUUUUUUUUUUU